GGAAAUUCGGUUGUUACCAAGUGAUCGACUUGUCAUGUCGGCGGUGGCGAGUGUCGCCCCCACAAUUUUGUUUUUUAUAUAUGACAGGAGAAAACUCCACUCACUUUCAUACACAAGUGAUUGGCAACAGGCUGUUGGAGGUGACUUUGCCAGCUCCGUAAGACUGUCAAAUGGAUAAAGAUUCGAUACCAUUCACGAGCAUGAAAGCACCUUGGUCAGGAACCUUAGCCACGAAGUUUCCUUUGGUGUGGACUUUUGCGACAGCUUCUGGGUAUGACUGUGGAUGAGAUUUGUCGGACUAAGGAAUGUUGUCAUCUGUGCUAAGUAAUUCCUACACCACUGGUAAAAGACAACAGUCGCUAGCACCCUUUCACAACUAGGAGAAAUGGUGGGCGGUCGGCUGAUUGCAGCUUCCAAG